ACGAACUUACUUGAACAUUAUCUGUUCUAUGGGCUCGUACCUUUGUAUCCUUGAGUUCCAAGGAGACAGGAACCCCGUAUGUUUGAUGAACCAUGACCGCAUGAACAGUGCGUGAUUAAUGGCGCGCAGGCCUAUGAUGUAGUCCCUGGCGCUGUAGAUGAUCGUUCUCAGCUUGGCCCCUUAACAUGUUGUGGUGGUCGUGUGAUUGUCUAACAGACU